rnacentral:rRNA from 1 species
GACGAACCGUGCGAACGUUAUUCGGAAUCACUGGGCUUAAAGCGCGUGUAGGCGGGCCGUCGCGUCGGCUGCUGAAAUCCCCCGGCUCAACCGGGGAAGUGGCACCGAUACGGGCGGCCUGGAGGGGGUAGGGGGCCUGGAACGUUCCGGUGGAGCGGUGAAAUGCGUUGAGAUCGGAAGGAACGCCCGUGGCGAAAGCGAGGCCCUGGACCCUUACUGACGCUGAGACGCGAAAGCCAGGGAGCGAACGGG